UCUGGCAUGAGAUCAGUUGCUCACCAUGACUGUGGCAAGCUGAGAAGCCAGCAGUGUUUGAAAUGAUGACAAGGAAGCGCCCUCAAAUUUCCCCACCUCGACCUCAGCCUCCUCCUCCCUCUGUUCCUCCAACAGCUCCUCCUCCAACCCACCUGCCUUCCCUGACUACUCCAUUUUUCUUCCCUCCAUCUACUGUCCAGCGCAAUGCCUCCCUCUCUGUCUUCUGCCCUACCUGGUUCCCUCCUCUAGCUAGUGGUGCCAGUUCCUACUACACCACCUUAAAUAUCUCCAUGCCCAGCUCCUCCUCUCUUCCUUCUGGACCACCCACUCGCCAGCCUGUUCGUCUUGCUCCUCUUUCCUGCUACUCCUCCAUCAUGGCCCCUACUCCUCCUCCCAGCCCUUCCUUCUAGUUCCCUCUUCUCUUGUCCCGCUCACAAUCCAGUCAUCCAAAACCAGACUGAGCCAUUGAUGACUUGCAUUCUGGGGAUGGCGUCCCUAAUCCCCAUGCAGUUCAGAAUGGCCAGGAUCUGAAUGCCCAGCAGCCUGACCUGGGAACCCAAGGAAGGCAGGGUGAGGGCAAGCCAAGCUUCAGCCUGGAGCAUCUCUCUGGAGGUUCUGCAUUUGUCCCUGGCUUCUCUGUGGAACUAGGGCUGAACUACAGAGCAUAGAAGGGAGUGAGCAGGGGGCUCUAGGAGCCUAAGUCUCAUGAUGUGCCCUAAUGUAAAAUGAGGGCAAGAAGACAGAUGCGAGGGCUCUCAGGCAGGGCAUGAGGCUCCUGUAACAGGUGGAAGAGCCUACAAGGCAAGACUGAUCCUGAUCCUGCCCACAUGAUGACAUUGGGUGAAAUGAUACCACUGUAUGAAAUGACCCCUGGUGCUCCUCAGUGUCAUAUACAAAUCCAAUACAAUUUUAAUCAAAAUCCCAACCAAUGUGUUGGGGAAAAUUGAAAAACAUUAUAACCAGUAGAGAAGUGCAAAGGACUAAGAACAGCCAAGACUCUCUUUAGAAGACAUCCUCCCUACCAGAUAUCAGGACAUGAUACACACUUGAUAAACUUAAUCACUAUGUUAA